rnacentral:rRNA from 1 species
UUCGCAAUGCCCGAAAGGGUGACUAUGCGACGCCGCGUGUGCGAUGAAGGUCUUCGGAUUGUAAAGCACUGUCAGUCGGGAGGAAUCUCGGGGGCUCUAAUAAAGCCGCCGGGUGACAGUACCGGCAGAGGAAGCCACGGCUAACUCCGUGCCAGCAGCCGCGGUAAUACGGAGGUGGCAGGCGUUACUCGGAUUGAUUGGGUGUAAAGGGUGCGUAGGUGGCGGUUUAAGUCGAAUGUGAAAUCCCUUGGCUCAACCAAGGAACUGCAUUCGAAACUGAUCCGCUUGAGCGAUGGAGAGGAAAACGGAAUUCCCGGUGUAACAGUGAAAUGUGUAGAUAUCAGGAGGAACACCGGUGGCGAAAGCGGCUCACUGGACCGUAACUGACGCUGAGUGUGCGAAAGCUAGGGGAGCAAACGGGAUUAGAUACCCCGGUAGUCCUAGCCCUAAACGAUGGGCACUAAGUAGAGGGGUUUU